rnacentral:rRNA from 1 species
GAUGAACGCUGGCGGCGUGCCUAAUACAUGCAAGUCGAGCGAACGGACCAGAAGCUUGCUUCUCUGAUGUUAGCGGCGGACGGGUGAGUAACACGUGGAUAACCUACCUAUAAGACUGGGAUAACUUCGGGAAACCGGAGCUAAUACCGGAUGAUAUUUUGAACCGCAUGGUUCAAAAGUGAAAGACGGUCUUGCUGUCACUUAUAGAUGGAUCCGCGCUGCAUUGGCUAGUUGGUAAGGUAACGGCUUACCAAGGCAACGAUGCAUAGCCGACCUGAGAGGGUGGUCGGCCACACUAGAGCUGAGACACGGUCCAGACGCCUACGGGAGGCAGCAGUAGGGAAUCUUCCGCAAUGGGCGAAAGCCUGACGGAGCAGCGCCGAGUGAGUGAUGAAGGUCUUCGGAUCGGAAAACUCUGUUAUUAGGGAAGAACAUAUGUGUAAGUAACUGUGCACAUCUUGACGGUACCUAAUCAGAAAGCCACGGCUAACUACGUG